rnacentral:lncRNA from 1 species
AGUAAUAAGACAAUAAAUCAAGGUUUUACCGUUAAUUCGGUUCUUAUCCUGUAACAAUUUCUUCCAUUUUUUUUAUUUUCGCUGAUUUUCUACAGUCCAGCAGGUAAAAGGGCAACAACGCUUCUUAGUUCUCACGGAAAUUCGUCUGCAGUGCAAAAGUGAAAAGUUGUUGAUUACUUGUAAGGUUACUAAGCUUGGUCUUUCCGUUUCCUACAUGUUUACAAUGUGUACAACUUUACAAGCCUUCGAAAGUGACAUUAGAUCUUUGCAAUUGCAGAGAUCCCAGAUGCGAAAAUGGCCAAAACUGAAAAUCGCAAUGCUGCGCCUUGAGUAUUACUUUAAACAUGGCUGCUGCCAGUGCUGCCUGCUGACAUUCAACGAGAUCGUUAUGGUGGUAUUAAAAUGUACCGGUACUGCGGCAUUUUCCAUUAUGAAAGUUAAGUUAAAAAGAUUUUGUUUCCUUACGAUAUUGUAUGGUUGCUGAACGUAAAAUUUUUACAGGUUUAUUCACAGGAAAUCUAGCCUGUAAUUUCAAAUCUGCCAAAUCACCUUAUCAGUUAUCACGUCAUUCAUGUGACCUGAAACCAUCCUGAAACUCAUGUUGUUGCUUGCUACUGGUAUCGGUUGUAUGUACAACCCAUGCAAAAACACUUGACAGCAAAAGUAAGUGUGUUAUGUGAUUAUGUCAACCGAUUUCCAUUCAAAUUUAGUUAAUUGUUGACAGAGCAGAUCUAGAUCCUAUCUUGUUGUAGAAUCGAUUGUGUUGCAUCUUCAAUGGAUAUGUGGUUUUACGAUUCAAUUUCCAUGGGGUUGAACUAGACUUAAAUUAAAUUGUUAGUUGGGAAGUCUUGCAGGUUGAAACGCUGCACGAUCAACGUCCUUUUCGACGAUGGGGAUUCUUCCUUCGUUGCUGAAGCCAUCCGAAUAUCGGGCUUUCUUUUGAACGUUUCAACGGCCGUCGAUACUCCAAUGCUGAGAUGAUGACCCUCUUCCCAGAGGAUGAAGCCUUUGCUCUUUCCCUGGUCGGAUAAAAUUAUAUGUAUUAUCGUAUCGUAUUAUGUAAUUGCCUGCCUUUUACGUAGGCUACAUUAGCUGCUAAAUAGUUUCAUCAAAUUUUACGAGAAAUCAAAAAAUUAUUUAGGCCAUUCAGGUUGUUUUUCUUAAUUCAACCAAUGUACAACUGUAUGUAAAUCAG